UGCCCAUUUGCCCAACUGGACCUCCACCUC
rnacentral:piRNA from 1 species